rnacentral:misc_RNA from 1 species
GUUGAAGAACGUAGCGAAAUGCGAUACUUGGUGUGAAUUGCAGAAUCCCGUGAACCAUCGAGUCUUUGAACGCAAGUUGCGCCCGAAGCCAUUAGGCCGAGGGCACGCCUGCCUGGGCGUCACACGUCGUUGUCCCCCAUCUACUCCUUCGGGAUUGCGGGGGGCGGAUGAUGGCCUCCCGUGCGCCUCGUCGCGCGGUUGGCAUAAAUGCCAAGUCCUCGGCGACGCACGCCACGACAAUCGGUGGUUGCGAAACCUCGGUUGCCCGUCGUGUGCGGUCGUCGCGCAUCGAGGGCUCGAAAAAAUUGUCGGGCUCCGGCUCGGCUUUCAACGCGACCCCAGGUCAGGCGGGGUUACCCGCUGAAUUUAAGCAUAUCAAUAAGCGGAGGA